rnacentral:rRNA from 1 species
AUUGCCUUAGUACGGCGAGUGAAGCGGCAAAAGCUCAAAUUUGAAAUCUGGCACCUUCGGUGUCCGAGUUGUAAUUUGAAGAAGGUAACUUUGGAGUUGGCUCUUGUCUAUGUUCCUUGGAACAGGACGUCACAGAGGGUGAGAAUCCCGUGCGAUGAGAUGCCCAAUUCUAUGUAAAGUGCUUUCGAAGAGUCGAGUUGUUUGGGAAUGCAGCUCUAAGUGGGUGGUAAAUUCCAUCUAAAGCUAAAUAUUGGCGAGAGACCGAUAGCGAACAAGUACAGUGAUGGAAAGAUGAAAAGAACUUUGAAAAGAGAGUGAAAAAGUACGUGAAAUUGUUGAAAGGGAAGGGCUUGAGAUCAGACUUGGUAUUUUGCGAUCCUUUCCUUCUUGGUUGGGUUCCUCGCAGCUUACUGGGCCAGCAUCGGUUUGGAUGGUAGGAUAAUGACUAAGGAAUGUGGCUCUACUUCGGUGGAGUGUUAUAGCCUUGGUUGAUACUGCCUGUCUAGACCGAGGACUGCGUCUUUUGACUAGGAUGUUGGCAUAAUGAUCUUACGACACCCGUCUUG